UUUUCUUUUUCAUUUUCCAGGGCAAGCAAAUCUAUUUCUUAUUACAGCCUGUACUUAUAGUUUAAUUCUAUCUUAUGACUUAAAGACUAAACUAUUUGAGAACCACUAAGAUUUUUCCAACUAUUAAAAGGGGAAAAAUACAAAACUCAAAACAGAUGUUUUAUAAUGUAUUUCAUUUAUUUUGGCCACCCAUAAAGUUGUGGCUUAUGUUAGUGCCAACCAAGUUAAAAGCAACAGAGUUCUGCAGAAAGACUAUGCAGGGGGAGCACCUUUCAAUAAAUCUCUAUUUAUUAAGUCAUUUUCAAUGUUAGAAAAAGCAAACAGGAAUUACUGAAGAUACAAGUGUUGCUGGUGUACUUGGGUAGUUUCUUGGGGGAUUUUCAAAGUUAAUGCAGCAUUUUUGUGUUAUUGUAGCCCAAUGCUUAGCUUGGAAAGCAGAUGAUCAAAGUAUGCAUUGAAAAUGGAUGAGUUUGCUGAAAUUAGAACCGAAGAUAAUAUCCUUAGAACAAUAUCAUGUAAAUAACAGAUACUUUAUAUCAAACAGUUAUUCCAGAGACUUAACAGUUGAAGAAGUUCCAACAAAUUAAAACUAUCUUAUCCAAACAAUCAUCAGACUUGGGAUAGCACAAACCUUUCACUUUUUUCUAAGUUUAUGAAUGGAAACAAAGACAUUUCAAAAGUUAAACCCAUGAGACUCCUAACAGUUGCUGUGGUACUUACUGAUAAGGUAUCUUGUGGAAAUUACAGUAAAAGUAGUAAUAUUGAAAUUUCCCCUGCACCUAUUCUUAUUUAAACUGAGAAGUCAUUUCUCAGUAAGAGACUCACUUUAGCAGAAGACCAGCACAGUACUGCAGGGACAAAAUGAGCAAUAAAGAAUGGUUGGUCUCAAAACAUUUUUUAUUGACAAUUUACUGUAUAGAACUCAGGGUAUAUAAUGUGGAUAUAAUUUACUAAUCUGCCAAAAAAAUAUAUAGGAAAAGCAUAUGGAAAUGAUAAUGUAUGUAUUUAAGGAAGAAAGAACAGCAUUAAAAGUUUUAGCUUGUAUUUUUUGGCUUGCUAUCCACAUAUUCAAAGAAAAUAUAUUUUUCACCUUCCUCCUCAGAAGUGGCACAGAAAGUGAACUGCAAAAGUUGAUUAGAAAGUAAUAAAAUGUGAAAGCUUAGUAAUUCAGUACAGCAAAGAGCAGUACAGACUUUAACCACAUACAUAGAAGAGACUGUUAGAAUGUGAGCUUUUAAUGCAAAAGACUUUUUCAAUCGCAUAGCCAAAAAACAUUUUGACCUAAUAAAUAAAUAUGAAGUUCAAUAUUAUCAAACCAAGUGCAAAUACAGAAAACUCACUUUAAUUCAGAGGCAUGCUUAAAGCACUUUGAAAGCAAAAUAUCCUUUACAAUUAUUUCUCCAGGUAAAACAGUUAUAAUUAUCAUUAUCUGGCAAUUGCCAGUGCUUUUC
rnacentral:lncRNA from 1 species